GUCGAGGGGCAUCGGGAAGAAAGCUUGCUUUCUUUGCUGGCGACCGGCGCACGGGUGAGUAACACGUAUCCAACCUGCCCUUUACUCGGGGAUAGCCUUUCGAAAGAAAGAUUAAUACCCGAUGGCAUAAUGAUUCCGCAUGGUUUCAUUAUUAAAGGAUUCCGGUAAAGGAUGGGGAUGCGUUCCAUUAGGUUGUUGGUGAGGUAACGGCUCACCAAGCCUUCGAUGGAUAGGGGUUCUGAGAGGAAGGUCCCCCACAUUGGAACUGAGACACGGUCCAAACUCCUACGGGAGGCAGCAGUGAGGAAUAUUGGUCAAUGGGCGCUAGCCUGAACCAGCCAAGUAGCGUGAAGGAUGAAGGCUCUAUGGGUCGUAAACUUCUUUUAUAUAAGAAUAAAGUGCAGUAUGUAUACUGUUUUGUAUGUAUUAUAUGAAUAAGGAUCGGCUAACUCCGUGCCAGCAGCCGCGGUAAUACGGAGGAUCCGAGCGUUAUCCGGAUUUAUUGGGUUUAAAGGGAGCGUAGGUGGACUGGUAAGUCAGUUGUGAAAGUUUGCGGC
rnacentral:rRNA from 1 species